UUUUUUUUUUUUUUUUGGUGCAUUUUCUAGCUAUAAGCUAUGAUUAGUUGUUCUGUUGUAUGUGCUGUGGUUUUGUUACUGUGCUGUAGACCAUGAACAUAAGAACCAAAAAGGAAUUUCUAGGAAAAUAUGGACACAGAGAUAUCAGUUUAAAUAGGUGAUAAUUACUUCCAGUUCUGGAACAUUGAAUCAUAGAAUGGUUAGGGUUGGAAAGGACCUUAAGAUCAUCAGGGACACCUCACACUAGACCAUGUCCCCCAAGGCUCUGUCCAACCUGGCCUUGAACACUGCCAGGCAUGGAGCAUUUACCACUUCUUUGGGCAACCUGUUCCUGUGCCUCACCAUUCUCACAGUAAAGAAUGUCUUGCUUAUAUCCAACCUGAACUUCCGCUGUUUAAGUUUAAACCCAUUAACCCCUGUCCUAUCACUAUGGUCCCUGAUGAAGAGGCCUUUUCCGGCAUCCUUGUAGGCCACCUUCAGAUACUGGAAGGCUGCUAUGAGGUCUCCAUGCAGCCUUCUCUUCUCCAGGCAGAACAGCUCCAACUUCCUCAGCCUGUCAUCAUAUGGGAGGUGCUCCAGUCCCCUGAUCAUCCUCAUGGCCCUCCUCUGGACUUGCUCCAAUGGCUCCAUGUCCUUAUGUUGAAGACACCAGAACUGCACACAAUACUCCAAGUGGGGUGUCAUGAGAGCAGAGUAGAGGGGCAACUUGAAUUUUGUCAGAAACAUAGCUGAAGGUAUCUUAAUCUCUAGCUAGCGCUAAGGAACAGCAAGAAAGCAAGCAAGUGCAGUUCAGAAAGCGCUUCUCUGUACAGAGAAUACUAUUACUAUGCCAAAAUCAUAGAAUCAUAGAAUCGUAAGGGUUGGAAAGGACCUUAAGAUCAUCUAGUUCCAACCCCCCUGCCAUGGGCAGGGACACCUUGCCCUAAACCAUGUGGCUCAAGGCUCUGUCCAACCUGGCCUUGAACACCGCCAGGGAUGGAGCAUCCACAACCUCCCUGGGCAACCCAUUCCAGUGCUUCACCACCCUCACUGUAAAGAACUUCUUCCUUAUAUCUAAUCUAAACUUCCUCUGUGUAAAUCUGGUACUUUGAACAUGUGCACUCACCUAGUCUAUUAUGGCAUGAAAUUAGACAAAUUUUCUCAGACCAGCUCUAAAAGGCAGAUUCCCUUUGAAUACGUUACUGCAGGGUAAGGCAUGAGGAUCCCACAGGUUUGAAAACUUCUUAUUUGCUGGAGCCACACAUCAGAACACCAACAGCAUUUAGGGGCGUCAGAUACUUAAUAACACCCAAUUAAAAUAAAAUAAUUGUCAUCAGUACGUCUGUCAUCAGAACAUCUGUCAAAUGACUGGUUUCACACAGAUGUAUAUUGUACACAAUAUUAAAAGCUUUUCUACCUUCUACUGGUUAGAAGUGCAUGCCACUUGGCAUUCAAGGCAUUUUGCAAAACUGACUAGAUAC
rnacentral:lncRNA from 1 species